AUCGAACGCUGGCGGCAGGCCUAACACAUGCAAGUCGAGCGAGCGGCGGACGGGUGAGUAAUGUCUGGGAAACUGCCCGAUGGAGGGGGAUAACUACUGGAAAAGGUAGAUAAUACCGCAUACCAUCGGAUGUGCCCAGAUGGGAUUAGCUAGUAGGGGGGGUGAAGGCUCACCUAGGCGACGAUCCCUAGCUGGUCUGAGAGGAUGACCAGCCACACUGGAACUGAGACACGGUCCAGACGCCGAAGUGAGGCAGCAGUGGGGGAUAUUGGAGAAUGGGCGCAAGCCUGAUGCAGCCAUGCCGCGUGUAUGAAGAAGGCCUUCGGGUUGUAAAGUUCUUUCAGCGGGGAGGCGUUACCCGCAGAAGAAGCACCGGCUAACUCCGUGCCAGCAGCCGCGGUAAUUC
rnacentral:rRNA from 1 species